GACGAACGCUGGCGGCGUGCUUAACACAUGCAAGUCGAACGGAAAGGCCCUGCUUUUGUGGGGUGCUCGAGUGGCGAACGGGUGUGUAACACGUGAGUAACCUGCCCUUGACUUUGGGAUAACUUCAGGAAACUGGGGCUAAUACCGGAUAGGAGCUCCUGCUGCAUGGUGGGGGUUGGAAAGUUUCGGCGGUUGGGGAUGGACUCGCGGCUUAUCAGCUUGUUGGUGGGGUAGUGGCUUACCAAGGCUUUGACGGGUAGCCGGCCUGAGAGGGUGACCGGCAACAUUGGGACUGAGAUACGGAGCAGAAUGGAACGGGAGGCAGAAGUGGGGAAUAUUGCAAAAUGGGCGGAAGGCUGAUGAAGAAACGCCGGGUGCGGGAUGACGGCCUUCGGGUUGUAAAAAGAUUUAGCAUGUGACGAAGCGUGAGUGACGGUAAUGGGUAAAGAAGCACCGGCUAACUACGUG
rnacentral:rRNA from 1 species